AAUUACAAACAUACCAACGUUAAUGCACCGGAUCCCAUCAAAACUCYGUAGUUAAACACACUUAGGCUAGAGUAGUACUAGGAUGGGUGACUGCCUGGGAAGUCCUAGUGUUUUACAUUC
rfam:Picea glauca, whole genome shotgun sequence.